AGAAGUUUAGGAUAAACAACAGUCCAAGAGCCUUCAAAGCCCUAAGUAAAUUAAACCAUUUAACUUCUG
rnacentral:tRNA from 2 species